UAAACCCGAAAUUCUAACUUGCACUGUGAGUCAUUGAAAUCGAUGUAUCGCAUUUCUGUUUGCUAGGUGUUAUGCUCGGCUGCAUCCUAGAGCUGUGAACUGUCGCAAGAAGAAAUGUGGUCAUAGCAACCAGUUGAGGCCAAAGAAGAAGAUCAAGUAAACUACGAGUAUGGUGGUUAUUUCAUCUGCUUCAAAGAACAUGAACACAGAACU